UGCUCAGCUAUAAAAUGACUCAAAAGAAAAGGAGUUUGAAGUGCAGGAACAAAGGGGCAAGGAAGCUCUAACCCAGGAAAAAGUCACCAAACCAACACUGUGGCCACAGGCAGGGGACAAAGAGGCAGAAGAGUUUGAAGGAACAAAAAAAGUGAAAUGCUCAAGUUCUGUAUACUUACCAACUAGCGAGGAGGGCGUGGAGAGGAUUCCCACCAAGGCACCACCAGGAACAGAAAUGGACAGAGAGAGCUCCUGGGCCAUCAUGGCAGAAGUGGGCCACCGGAGCCACACAUAGGGCAGCGACGGAGGCCUGAAAAUCUGUGACUGGGUAGGAAUCCAAAAGCAUGGAGGUCAGCCAGAGCAGGGGACUCUGAGGGGUCAGGUUUUCUCAUGUGGCUACAGCAGGCCACACAGGAGUCAGAGGAAUACAGCCAAAGGAAAGGAGGGCUGGAGGGAAAAUAUAUCCGCCAGCACCAUGGAGUCCACCUGAGGAGUGUGAGUGCGUCUUCUGCUCUGAUAUCCUCAGGGAUAUGGGGUUAGACCUCAGCUUCAGUAGCCAGGAGACUCUUGAGUUUUUGUUUAGGCAAGUUUCGGGUAAUUUUCCCUUGUCCCUUAGAUCCCACCCCCUCCCAUGUCUCCACCCCCCACUUCUCGUGGUAGUUAGCCCGUUUUGUAACCUCAAUUAAUAAUAAAUAUGAACGUGAAUGGCAA